rnacentral:lncRNA from 1 species
GAGAAUGCGUGAGACUGUCAUAAACCCUGGGUAUUUUGAAUCAAACCAUGGGUCUUUUACCAUUAUGUGACCUUCGGCAAUUCUGGGCUUGAACUUUCCUAUUGCGUCUCUUUGAACUUUAAAUAGAGAGAAAUCUGAAGAGUGCGGCAGCUGCCCGUCUCCUGGCUGCCAAUUGUCUGCAGAGUGAUAUAACAUGAAGAAAAUGUUCUAUAAAGAAGGUGUACAGAGGAAAAACAACAUUCCACCUAUACAAGUGCUAUCAAGGAGAAAGGUGAUAUAUUAGAAAGAAAGGAUUUUGAUGUUGGAGAGACUUGGGUUCAAAUUCCAGCUCUUUCUGUAAUGAAAGCCAAGUUGCUUAACCUGGGAAUCAGCUUCUUUAGUUUUAAAAUGAGAAUAAUAAUACCUACUCAUGGGAGUUGCAUAAAGAUGAAAUGAAAGUCUGUA